UAUAUAUAUAUAUUUAAUAACACAAAAGAUUGUUUUAUUGGUUGUGCACUUAUCGUUUUUAUCGAGGAACCAAGAUUCAUUUAUGUCUUUUACAAAAAGGGGAUACGAAAAGAGACGCAGUAGACGUGUCCAAAAAGAAUAUUAAAAAAUACUAGAAUUUUCGUCAGUACAUAUAAAAAAAAAAAUCGAAUGUUGGAACUUCUAAAAAAAAUGAUUUCUUAUCUUACGAAAAUCUAAAAGAAUAUUUUGACCAUCGUGAGUCAUCGAUUUUGUACAAUGAAUACUUUUAUGACCAAAAGCCUUAUGAGUAUAAGCAUAACCCAACUUUAAAGGAAAGUUUUUCUGCAUGUUUUUCUAACCAAGUAAUUAUGCACUAGAGAAGUGGAUUGACAAAGAAUAGCAACAAAUUUAUUGUCCCAAAAAAAAACUAUAAUCAUGCACUAAAAAACAACCUUUCGUCAACAAAAGAAUGGCACAAAUUUCCAUUGAUAAAGUGUAAGAUAGCAGAUGAUUCAUUUUCAUGUUGUGAAGAAUACAACUUUCUACAUCAGAUGAGAUAUAUGUUAAAGAAAGCAUUAAAAAUAAGAAUAACAAAUCAUACCGCUCUUCAUUGACAGAACCUCCGCCACCUAUUAUGAAGAUGCAAAAUGUUAUUCUCAACGAGCUUGCAGAAAUAAAAGUUCUUUUAAAAGAAGUUAUAGAAAUUAAGUUUCAGGCUACUGGGGUGAAGUUGCUAGAAUCAGUGGACGAAGUGGUUACACUGAAUAAUAAACUAAAAGAUAAAACUGAGUAUACUAAUUUGGUAUAAUCUAAUUAUCUUAAUUUUUAAUAAGUUUGUUUAAAUUUGGUUUACUAGUUUAGAAUCUAAAUGAAAAGUAUUUGUAAAUGAACUAAAAUAAGUAGCUAGUGUUGUAAUGAAAUUUAUGUUUUACAAUGAUGAUAAUGAAAUGAUAAUGAAAAUAAUGUUUUACAACAUUAAUGAAAUUAAUGUUGUAAAGAAAUUUAAGUUACACUAGUUUUUAUUACAUUUAUUUCAGCUUGAUAGUUUGAAAAAGAUUGGUGGUGGAAAGCCAAGAGAACAUGUUUUUUUGAUCAUGAAAAAAUAAAUGAUUAUGUUUUUAUUAAUUAUUAGAAAUAUGAUUAAAAGGGACCAAAAGCAAUUCAUUUUGACCGUUAUUUGUUAUAGAUUUACUUUUAACAUGACAAUUUGAUAAACUCGGGAGCUUCACUGUAGGUGUUUAAGUUCGUUUGUGUGCUAAAGUUAUUUUCGAAUCAGUUACAGUCCAAAUUUAAUCGAAAAGGAAAUGGGGAAAAGAUAAACUUAGAAAAUCUAGUAAAUAUAUGGAGUGUUUAACGAGAUAUCGGCGACGUGGAAGAAAAUGUUGACGGCAAUGAAGAAAUAUAGUUUUUUAUAUAUAUUUUUGUGAAAUAAAAAUUAAGUAAUGUUA